AUUGAACGCUGGCGGCAUGCCUUACACAUGCAAGUCGAACGGUAACAGGUCUUCGGAUGCUGACGAGUGGCGAACGGGUGAGUAAUACAUCGGAACGUGCCCGAUCGUGGGGGAUAACGAAGCGAAAGCUUUGCUAAUACCGCAUAAGAUCUAAGGAUGAAAGCAGGGGACCGCAAGGCCUUGCGCGAACGGAGCGGCCGACGGCAGAUUAGGUAGUUGGUGGGAUAAAAGCUUACCAAGCCGACGAUCUGUAGAUGGUCUGAGAGGACGACCAGCCACACUGGGACUGAGACACGGCCCAGACUCCUACGGGAGGCAGCAGUGGGGAAUUUUGGACAAUGGGCGAAAGCCUGAUCCAGCCAUGCCGCGUGCAGGAUGAAGGCCUUCGGGUUGUAAACUGCUUUUGUACGGAACAAAAAGACUCUUUCUAAUAAAGAGGGUCCAUGACGGUACCGUAAGAAUAAGCACCGGCUAACUACGUGCCAGCAGCCGCGGUAA
rnacentral:rRNA from 1 species